rnacentral:rRNA from 1 species
UACGGGGGGAGCAAGCGUUGUUCGGAUUUACUGGGCGUAAAGAGCGCGCAGGCGGUCGUUCAAGUCGAGUGUGAAAGCCCCCGGCUCAACUGGGGAGGGUCACUCGAUACUGAUCGACUCGAAGGCAGGAGAGGGAAGCGGAAUUCCCGGUGUAGUGGUGAAAUGCGUAGAUAUCGGGAGGAACACCAGUGGCGAAGGCGGCUUUCUGGCCUGCUCUUGACGCUGAGGCGCGAAAGCUAGGGUAGCAAACGGG